AAAAAUCCUUUCCAUUGCCAGUCAAGCCUGCGAGCCAGUGUCAGUCCUCGCUGAAUCGGUCAACCUUCCGGAAAGAAAGUAGUCCAUUUUUCUUCUAUAUUACUGAAUCACUCCACUUCGUUAGAAUUCGAUGUGUUAAGCAUAUAGCAAAAGUAGCAGAAAGAAGAGAAAGGGGCACUAUUCAACAUGAGGGACCGUAGGCGAUCUAAGGUUGACCGGCUCUCCGGACCCAUUUCGGGACACUAUUGGAGAGCGCACUGGGCCCGCCGCUUUCUAAGUCGACUCAAUG
rnacentral:misc_RNA from 1 species